UAUACUACCUGCUAAAGAACCAGUGGAAACGUAAUCCUCUCGAUUACUACAUCUGUCAGUUGAACUAACUUCGUCAGCAGUCACUCCAGGAAUUCCAGGAGCACCCGGAACUGCCAAUUGUGUUUGUUUCAACGAUGGCGAAGAGACUCGCAGCAUAGAAUUAUCCUGACGAUGCCUCGCGUCAUAACCCUCCAAAAGACACCUUCUUCGACAGAGACCAGCUCCAGCGAAUUCGGCAAGAUUUAAGUCGCAGAAACCGAGUUUUUGGUAGGACCUGCCUCCCUUCAAUUCCUAAAUAAAAAUUCGAGGAACAAGGUGAAGGUUACUGGACAAUUCGAGAAUGAAAAAUUAAAAGUGAGAUAUUAUGCACUAAGUGUUGCGUGUUUGAACUUCAGUAACCAAAUCUGAUUGCAAAAGGUCAACUCGCUGCCUGUUCUAAAGCAUCGUUAUAAUGAACUUAAAUAGGGCUUUUAUGAAUAUAGGAGCCUAUAAUCGCGCUUUGACUCGAGAUGGAUAUAACCAUAACCAGAGAAAGCUUAACCAAGUGAUUAAGAAAUCGAAUCUACAUUACAUUGUGUCUCAAACUUCGAGGAAUCAAAUAUAAUCCUGAUUAUAUAAAGACCAUGGACAAUUGAAAGAAAAUACAAUUAACAUUUGUUAUGAUGUAAUCUGAUUGUUGUCAAAGACAAAAAGUUAAACAGUUAUUCAAAUUAUAAAGAAGACAAAAAACUGAGGCAUUGUUUAUGGCAUUUUUUUUUUUCAAAGAAGAAGAAAAAAAAGAAGAAGACCAUACAAAACGAAAACCUGAUUAACAUAAUAAGUAUUAGUUCAAGAAUGUCGUGAAUUUUUCACAAUGCGACAUGUACAUACAUUUUCAACUAUACACAAUCAAGAAUUCUUUCUGUUCUAUGUAAUCCUGGAUUAGUGAUGUAGCACAACUUUAAUACCAACGAUCAACUCGAAUAGAAAAAAAAAGAAAAUUCAAAAUAAAAAAACCUUGACCAUUAUUUGCAAUGAUUGUCAAAAAAAAAAAACAAAAAACAAAAAACAAAAAGUUAUCUGCUGAAAUUAAUCGAAAACUAUAACCUUUUUUAUAAUUAUCAUUUUUAUACGAUCUAACCAAAAACUAUAAUAUAAAUUGUCGUCCUUGAAGAAUCAAACCCUUAAUUUGUCUUAAUUUUGUUUAAAACACAUCUCGUGAGUACAAACUUUAGAAUAAUAAAUUCAAAAGUUUUUCACUUUUUUAUAUUUUCUCGAGAGCAAUAAAUAUUUGACAUAUAACUUAUCACAAUGUCAACAGUAUAAUUAACUCUAUAUAUAGAGAAUUAGACAAUCAACUUGAAAAUUUAUUAUCGCAAAACUAGGUUCUACACUUAUUUUUUAAAUUAGUUAAUAAAAAAUUAAUAAGUAUAAAAAAAUUAAAAGAAAUACAUAAAUAAAAUGAAUCUAAGAAAAAAAUGAAUAAAAAUAAUAUUCAUGAAAUAAUGUAUUAUGAAAACGGAACUUGGCAUUUAUAAGGUUUUAUAUCGACUUUUGAAAAAUAUGAAAAAUAAAAAAUAGCUGUGACAAAACACGAAGAAAAUGCAAAAAAGAAAAGAAGUCAAAAAAAUAGGAAAUAUGUAAAAAAAAUGGAAAGAGAAUAAAAAAAAAUAAAAGAAUGUUAAUUAUCGCAAUUUAUAUGGAUAAAAGGAGAAUUUCGAUUCUGGGCCCAUUGCCAAAGAUCCUGACCCAGACUUUACAUUUUAUUCAAGGCCAUCACAAAAGUCCGCGCCUUUCGCCUCGAUUCGACAAUUAUCGCGGAUCUGACAUAAUCAUGGGAUGAACACGUGGCAUUUUGUUACAAUAAAAAAAAAAAAAGCAAAAUGAUGACAUCAUCAGUGAUCAAUAAAACGGAAAUUUUUUUUUCGGACCGCUCUUAUUUUUACUAAAAAUAAAAUACUCUACUCUUUAAAUUGAAAAUUUCCUCUAAUUUUUAGUCAUUUUUCGAACUAAAAAUCUUUAGUGAAAAAAAAAUAUUACUAAAUAAAAUUAGUAAUACAAUAUUCUACUAAAAAUUAUUUUUCCAUUUUAUUUAAUUACAAUUUUGUAAAAAGAAAUUAAAAUUCAAAAAUAUACGAUUUUAUGUAAUUCCGUUUUACUGUAAAUAAAAUUUUUAUUUAGACAAAUAAAAUAUAAAACGAAAAAUAAAUUUUAAAAAAUUACAAAAAAAAAUAAAUGUGUAAAAAUUGUGUCGAGUACAACAUUUAUAUUUGGAUAAAAAGAACGUAAAUUGCAAACGACACAUUUCAGUAUAUAGUUUUUCAUGUCAACACAUUUUUCUCAGCAAAUGUGAAUUAUGUAUAUAUGAGUGUUGAAAAUAUAAGUGUAUUACGCAUAGUGCACACUUUCAAUUACAUAUAUAUAUGCAGAUAGAAAUAUGGAGGCGUAUUCCGGAAGUAGCUCAUCGCUUAUUGAAACAGGCCGAGUGUAUAAUAGUUACUAUUUAUUUCCCUUUAUCAAUUUAAACAUGUGCGACUCGUUUGAAACAACAAAGAUAUAAUAGAGGUCUUGUUAUAAAUGGGGGGAGAGGCCUAAAAAAUGAAUUCGAAUUAAAAAAAUGUUGAAAAAAAUUAAAUCAUUUUUUGGGGAAAAUAUUUUUAAAAAUGCUUCCAAAAAGCUUAAUCUAAUAAGCAGUAUUUCUUUUAUUAUUUUUUUUUAAAUAAAAUGUUUCUAUUACUUUUAAAAAGACACAUUGCAUCAUGUUUUACGUCACAUAAAACACAGUUUACUGUUGCAAAUGAAAAACUGUCAUUGUCAUGCUUGAAAUAAUGUUUUUAUUUACAUCAGGAAAAUGUGUUAAUAAUUACUUUAAUAUUCUUUUCUUAUAUUUAAUAUAUAUAUUUAAAUAUUUAAUUAAUUUGAAAUAUAUAAUUAUUACAAAAAUUAUAUUUAC